CCUACGGGUGGCAGCAGUCGAGAAUCAUUCACAAUGGGGGAAACCCUGAUGGUGCGACGCCGCGUGGGGGAAUGAAGUUCUUCGGAUUGUAAACCCCUGUCAUGUGGGAGCAAAUUAAAAAGAUAGUACCACAAGAGGAAGAGACGGCUAACUCUGUGCCAGCAGCCGCGGUAAUACAGAGGUCUCAAGCGUUGUUCGGAAUCACUGGGCGUAAAGCGUGCGUAGGCUGUUUCGUAAGUCGUGUGUGAAAGGCGCGGGCUCAACCCGCGGACGGCACAUGAUACUGCGAGACUAGAGUAAGGGAGGGGGAACCGGAAUGCUCGGUGUAGCAGUGAAAUGCGUAGAUAUCGAGAGGAACACUCGUGGCGAAGGCGGGUUCCUGGACAGUAACUGACGCUGAGGCACGAAGGCCAGGGGAGCGAAAGGGAUUAGAUACCCCUGUAGUC
rnacentral:rRNA from 1 species